ACACACUCUAGCAAAGUGAAACCGCGAAUGGCUCAUUAAAUCAGUUAUGGUUUAUUAGAUCGUGCAAUCCUAUUUGGAUAACUGUGGUAAUUCUAGAGCUAAUACAUGCAACUGGCCCUAACUUUACGAAGGGGCGCUUUUAUUAGAUCAAAAUCAAUCAGGAGCAAUCCUGUUUUUGUGAUGACUCUGGAUAACUUCAUGCCGACCGUAUGGCCUUGUGCCGACGGCGUAUCUUUCAAAUGUCUGCCCUAUCAACUUUCGAUGGUAGGUGAUAUGCCUACCAUGGUUGUAACGGGUAACGGAGAAUCAGGGUUCGAUUCCGGAGAGGGAGCCUGAGAAACGGCUACCACAUCCAAGGAAGGCAGCAGGCGCGCAAAUUACCCACUCCCGGCACGGGGGAGGUAGUGACGAAAAAUAACAAUGCUGGGCUUCAAGUCCGGUAAUUGGAAUGAGUACACUUU
rnacentral:rRNA from 1 species